UAAUACCCGGAUAUUCAUACAUUGUCGCAUGGUGGUGUGUGGAAAGCUUUUGUGGUGGAAGAUGGACUCGCGGCCUAUCAGCUUGAUGGUGGGGUAGUGGCUACCAUGGCUUUGACGGGUAGCCGGCCUGAGAGGGUGACCGGCCACACUGGGACUGAGACACGGCCCAGACUCCUACGGGAGGCAGCAGUGGGGAAUAUUGCACAAUGGGCGGAAGCCUGAUGCAGCGACGCCGCGUGGGGGAUGACGGCCUUCGGGUUGUAAACUCCUUUCAGCAGGGACGAAGCUUUUGUGACGGUACCUGCAGAAGAAGCACCGGCUGACUACGUGC
rnacentral:rRNA from 1 species